rnacentral:rRNA from 1 species
UGGGGAAUAUUGCACAAUGGGCGCAAGCCUGAUGCAGCCAUGCCGCGUGUAUGAAGAAGGCCUUCGGGUUGUAAAGUACUUUCAGCGGGGAGGAAGGCGAUAAGGUUAAUAACCUUGUCGAUUGACGUUACCCGCAGAAGAAGCACCGGCUAACUCCGUGCCAGCAGCCGCGGUAAUACGGAGGGUGCAAGCGUUAAUCGGAAUUACUGGGCGUAAAGCGCACGCAGGCGGUCUGUCAAGUCGGAUGGGAAAUCCCCGGGCUCAACCUGGGAACUGCAUUCGAAACUGGCAGGCUAGAGUCUUGUAGAGGGGGGUAGAAUUCCAGGUGUAGCGGUGAAAUGCGUAGAGAUCUGGAGGAAUACCGGUGGCGAAGGCGGCCCCCUGGACAAAGACUGACGCUCAGGUGCGAAAGCGUGGGGAGCAAACA